CGCGUAAACAACCUGCCCUUCGGAUGGGGACAACAGCUGGAAACGGCUGCUAAUACCGAAUACGUUCUUUCAUCGCAUGGUGAGAAGAAGAAAGGACGGCCUCACACAAAGCGGUCGCCGAAGGAGGGGUUUGCGUCUGAUUAGCUAGUUGGAGGGGUAACGGCCCAACAAGGCGACGAUCAGUAGCCGGUCUGAGAGGAUGAACGGCCACAUUGGGACUGAGACACGGCCCAGACUCCUACGGGAGGCAGCAGGG
rnacentral:rRNA from 1 species